UCCUCGAUCUGUUGCGGGCAGAUGAAGUGGAUAUGCGCGUCGAAGCCGCCUGCGGUGAGGAUCUUGCCCUCGCCGGCGAUGGCUUCGGUGCCGGGGCCGACGAUGAUGGUGACGCCGGGCUGCGUAUCCGGGUUGCCGGCCUUGCCGAUCGCGGCGAUGCGACCAUCCUUCAGGCCGAUAUCGGCCUUGUAGAUGCCGGAUACGUCGACGACGAGCGCAUUGGUGAUGACUGUGUCGACCGCGCCGUCGGCACGCGCCGCCUGGCUCUGGCCCAUGCCGUCGCGGA
rnacentral:sRNA from 1 species